GUUUUAUUAGUAUAUGUAGUAUUUUUAACUUCCAAUUAAAAGGAUUUAAAAAUUAAAUAAAAUA
rnacentral:tRNA from 1 species